AUUGAACGCUGGCGGCAGGCCUAACACAUGCAAGUCGAGCGAAGCCUUCGGGCUUAGCGGCGGACGGGUGAGUAACGCGUGGGAACGUGCCCUUCGGUACGGAAUAGCCCCGGGAAACUGGGAGUAAUACCGUAUGUGGUCGAGAGACGAAAGAUUUAUCGCCAAAGGAUCGGCCCGCGUUGGAUUAGGUAGUUGGUGGGGUAAUGGCCUACCUAGCCGACGAUCCAUAGCUGGUUUGAGAGGAUGAUCAGCCACACUGGGACUGAGACACGGCCCAGACUCCUACGGGAGGCAGCAGUGGGGAAUCUUAGACAAUGGGGGAAACCCUGAUCUAGCCAUGCCGCGUGAUCGAUGAAGGCCUUAGGGUUGUAAAGAUCUUUCAGUGGGGAAGAUAAUGACUGUACCCACAGAAGAAGCCCCGGCUAACUCCGUGCCAGCAGCCGCCGUAACAC
rnacentral:rRNA from 1 species